rnacentral:rRNA from 1 species
CACCACAUAAUGAGAGUAGCGCACUGGUGAGUAACACGUGGGAACAUACCUUGGAGUGGGGGGACAACAGAGGGGAAACUUCUGCUAAUACCGCAUAAUCCCUGAGGGGGAAAGAUUUAUCGCUUUAAGAUUGGCCCGCGGAAGAUUAGGUAGUUGGUGGGGUAAAGGCCUACCAAGCCGACGAUCUAUAGCUGGUCUGAGAGGACGAACAGCCACAUUGGAACUGAGACACGGUCCAGACUCCUACGGAAGGCAGCAG